GGGCGAAAGCCUGAUGCAGCGACGCCGCGUGGAGGAUGAAGGCCUUCGGGUUGUAAACUCCUUUUGUAGGGGAAGAUAAUGACGGUACCCUACGAAUAAGCCACGGCUAACUCUGUGCCAGCAGCCGCGGUAAGACAGAGGUGGCAAGCGUUGUUCGGAAUUACUGGGCUUAAAGGGCGCGUAGGUGGUGGAGUAAGUCUGAAGUGGAAUCUCGCAGCUUAACUGCGGAACUGCUUUGGAAACUGCUUUACUUGAGUCAGCGAGGGGAAGGCGGAAUUCCUGGUGUAGCGGUGAAAUGCGUAGAUAUCAGGAGGAAGGCCUGUGGUGAAGACGGCCUUCUGGCGCUGCACUGACACUGAGGCGCGAAAGCGUGGGGAGCAAACAGGAUUAGAUACCCUGGUAGUCCACGCCCUAAACGGUGGGCACUAGGUGUGGGAUCUGUAAGGGUUCCGUGCCGAAGGGAAACCAUUAAGUGCCCCGCCUGGGAAGUACGGCCGCAAGGUUG
rnacentral:rRNA from 1 species